AUGGCAGCAGAAGGAUGUGAACAGCGUGGCAGUGUCCCCCACGACAAGCUCUUGGUGUCUGGUUCCCAGGACCGCCUGGCCAAGCUCUGGUCCCUGGGGGCCCCCGGGCUGACCUGGCCCUCCUGGGGGUGUUCCGGGGCCACCGCCGGGGGUCUGGUGUGUCCAGUUCUCUCCCAUGGACCAGGUGCUGGCAUCCUCCUCAGCCGACGGCUCUGUCAAGCUCUGGAGCCUCCAGGACUUCAGCUGCCUCAAGACGUUUGAAGGCCACGAUGCCUCUGUGCUGAAGCUCAUCUUUGUGAGCAGAGGGACUCAGCUACUCACAAGUGGGUCAGAUGGGCUGGUCAAGCUGUGGACCAUCAAGACCAACGAGUGUGUAAAGACGCUGGAUGCCCACCAGGACAAGGUGUGGGGCCUCCACGCCACCAGGAAGGACGACCGCGUUGUCACCGCCUCGGCCGACUCCAACAUCACUGUGUGGACGGACGUGACCGAGGUGGAGCAGGCAGAGGAGCAGGCGAAGCAGGAAGACCAGAUACUCAAGAAACAGGAGCUGUCUAACCUGCUUCAUGAGAAGAAGUACCUGAAGGCUCUGGGCCUGGCCAUCUCCCUGGACCAGCCACACACUGUGCUCAAAGUCAUUAAAGCGAUCCGCCAGGGGGAAGAUGGUGCUAAGCAGCUGGAGAAGACUGUGCUGAAGCUGCGUCAGGACCAGAAAGAGUCUAUGCUGCGCUACUGUGCUGUGUGGAACACCAACGCCCGGAGCUGUCUGGACGCCCAGGCUGUGAUCCAGGUGAUGCUCACACACCUUUCCCCUGAAGAGCUGCUCCAGUACCAAGGAGCACGCGCACACCUGGAGGGACUCAUACCUUACACUGAGAGGCACAUGCAAAGGAUAGGCCGUCUGCUGCAGGCCUCCAUGUUCCUGGACUACAUGUGGCAGAAGAUGAGAGUGACAGGAGCUCCAGCCAGUAUGGACUCGCAGGAUGAGGAGAUGGACACCACCUCUCUUCAGGUGCCACACCCUCUGUUCAUGAUUGACAAGCGACCAGGUGAGGGUGGAGAUGGGACUAAGGAACAGGGGGAUGGAGAGGAGAGAUGGAAUGAGGGAGAGGCGGAGGAGGAUGGUGGUCUCGAGGAAGAUACCAACUGCCCGGCCAACAUGGAGGAGGAGGAGGAGGAUGAUGAUGAUGAUGAUGAUGAUGAUGAAGUCAGUAUCACCAGGAAAGCCUCAGUCAGGGGACAAAGGGAAGAAAAUGGACAGAACGGAAAAGAAAAUGGCAACCAUCACUCUGGCAGUGAGGAGAGUUCAAGAGAGGAGGACCGGGGAGACCAAACAGAGGCUAAGAUCCUCCUGUCUGCAGCGUCCCUUCCACCCCUCCAAGCAAUCAUCAGCUGAUAGCAGACUGUCUGACAUCAAGCCCACUAAGGAUGCCUGAGUGUGAACCUGCGGGAGUCUCCUUCAGCAUGGACCACUGCCUGGAGCAACAGUGUGGCUUUAUAGACACUGACAGACAGAGAAGCAGGUCCUGAAUGACCUUUUAUAAUAAACUGGUUUUGAGGUCAAUAGGCCUGGCUGGCAGCCAUUUUGGAAAAACGUGUCAUUUUUCAUAAAUAGUGCCACAAGUUUUUCCUCACCAUGUUAGCUCAUCGGGAAAAACUCUGGGUGCUAUUGGAAGCCUACUAAUGGUACCUAGUGGAAGCCUGCUACUAGAGGUCAGGAAUUGUCGAGGCUCUACCCGUAACUUCUUCCCCAUUCUUCAACAGAAACCAGUGCUUGUGAAUUUUUAUAUUUGUAUGUUGUUGUGCAGUCCUGCUCUUCCACAUAAACAUUUUGUUUGUCAUGAUUACAAAUGCAUCUGGAAUAAAAUGUAUGCCUUGUA